GCUUCGUAUCAACUUGACCUAAAUCAAGACUCCCUGAACUCGUGAACGAACGCCGACAAGUCGAAGCAUCGCCUCCGAGCUCUGGCUUUCUUGCCGCCGCCGCCGUCAACGGAGCUGAAGGCAUCGACCGCUCCGACUUCUGGAAUUCGUUGAGUACUGCUUCUCUUUGAAUAGCUUACAACACAGUUUCGGUUUUUGGUUCCACCUCAGCAAUAACCUGGACCAUAUACAGUUAUAAUUGCAGUUUCGGUUUUUGGCAACUGUUCUUGACCCUGCAGAUUAUGCAGGCAUUGAAGCUGCAUUAGACAACCACAUAGUGAGCAGUUAGUCUUUGCUUCACAGAAUCACCCACAAAUCCAUUCCUAAGAUGUGUUGACAUUGAGUUAGUUUCAAAGCUGUGUCAUGCAAAAGGAGCAAUUGUUUGCAUUGAUGGAACAUUUGCAACACCUGUUCUACACUCAGCAACCAAAUACAUUGGUGGCCAAAAUGAUAAAGCUGCAUACUAAAUCAUUCGAGGCAUGAAAACACUGCAUCUACGUAUAAAGCUUAAUGGUGUUGCUGAGGGAAACUAUAGGCUUUGACUCGAUCAUAUCAAUUUUGCAGCUAAGAGGAACCACAUACAGCUUUACUCAGCAAAAGACAAUCAAUCUACCGAGUGACUUGGAAACAAUUAGUUUGCUGCUGAGUGGAGGUCUGGAAAUCGAUCUUGGGAGUAUUGGACUUUUUUACUUUUAUUUUAUUGGUUUUAAAAUAUAAAUUUGAUGAAUGCUGUAAGAUUUUUUUGUGUUGAAUAUGUAAUCAUCUUUUAUUUUUUCA